rnacentral:tRNA from 1 species
GGGGAUGUGGCUCAGUGGUAGAGCACUUGCCUAGCAUGUGUGAGGUACUGGGUUCGAUUCUCAGCACCA